AUCGAAACUGCUUUUUAUUCUCCUUGAAUGCAGAACUAAGCAUUGCAAGUGAGGCAACCACAGGUGCAUGGAAGAAGAACUGGCCACUACAGGAAGAAACAUUGAAACAUCUCAUUCAUGAGUGGGAUCAAAUUUGCUUAACGCCUGCCAAGCCUCCACCAGGAAAGGAAUUGCCAACAGCCACUGGAGUUAAAGAUGAUCAGAGUUCCAAUAUGGCCAUGCUGUUGAAAGGGAAGCACUGA
rnacentral:lncRNA from 1 species